AGCGGCGGACGGGUGAGUAACGCGUGGGUAACCUGCCUCAUACAGGGGGAUAACAGUUGGAAACGGCUGCUAAUACCGCAUAAGCGCACAGUACCGCAUGGUACGGUGUGAAAAACUCCGGUGGUAUGAGAUGGACCCGCGUCUGAUUAGGUAGUUGGUGGGGUAACGGCCUACCAAGCCGACGAUCAGUAGCCGGCCUGAGAGGGUGACCGGCCACAUUGGGACUGAGACACGGCCCAA
rnacentral:rRNA from 1 species